rnacentral:rRNA from 1 species
CCUACGGGAGGCAGCAGUGAGGAAUAUUGGUCAAUGGGCGGGAGCCUGAACCAGCCAAGUCGCGUGAGGGAUGACGGUCCUACGGAUUGUAAACCUCUUUUGCCGGGGAGCAAGCGUACGUUCGUGAACGCGCGUCGAGAGUACCCGGAGAAUAAGGAUCGGCUAACUCCGUGCCAGCAGCCGCGGUAAUACGGAGGUUCCGAGCGUUAUCCGGAUUUAUUGGGUUUAAGGGGUGCGUAGGCAGCCUUUUAAGGCAGCGGUGAAAGUCUGUGGCUCAACCAUAGAAGUGCCGUGGAAACUGGGAGGCUUGAGUAGGUGUGAGGCAGGCGGAAUGCGUGGUGUAGCGGUGAAAUGCUUAGAUAUCACGCAGAACCCCGAUUGCGAAGGCAGCCUGCCAGGCCAUGACUGACGCUGAUGCACGAAAGCGUGGGGAUCAAACAGGAUUAGAUACCCUGGUAGUC